CAAACCCGGUCUCAAAACUUUGGAAGAGGACGAGGUCGAGGUCGCGGUUGGCAUAAUGGAAGAAAUUCAGGUCGUUCUCCUAACUGGAAUUCCAACUACCAUAAUGGCGGGACCUUCACUCGCGACAACGGCUGGCAAAAUAGUCGUGAUCACCGUCGUCCUCAAUUUCUAACAGAUACUAGAUCAUCAAUGCCUUCACAUGAUGGACGUCCACCACUGCUCCCAACACCACCAUAUCAACCUCCUUUUCAGUUUCAAGAAACCUGUCAGAUGUGCAACCGGCAAGGCCACACUUCACGUGUAUGUCCUGAUCGUGGUAAUUACGCCUACAUGGCAGAGUCCAACACCUCCAAUAUCCCUUCACCAUCUGUUCCUACUAACACAAGUUGGUGUGUUGACUCCGGGGCAACCCAUCAUAUGGUGUCCAGUCCUUCUCAACUCCCCUUUGUGAAGCCAUAUACAGGACAAUAUGACGGGGAGGACAUUACUCACUGGCAGUAGCUCUGGCGACUUGUACCAUAUUCAAGCAGAUCCUACAAUCUCAGGG